rnacentral:rRNA from 1 species
CCUACGGGUGGCUGCAGUGAGGAAUAUUGGUCAAUGGGCGAGAGCCUGAACCAGCCAAGUCGCGUGAAGGAUGAAGGAUCUAUGGUUUGUAAACUUCUUUUAUAUGGGAAUAAAGUGAGGAACGUGUUCCUUUUUGUAUGUACCAUAUGAAUAAGCAUCGGCUAACUCCGUGCCAGCAGCCGCGGUAAUACGGAGGAUGCGAGCGUUAUCCGGAUUUAUUGGGUUUAAAGGGUGCGUAGGUGGUUAAUGAAGUCAGCGGUGAAAGUUUGUGGCUCAACCAUCAAAUUGCCGUGGAAACUGCGUGACUUGAGUAUAUUUGAGGUAGGCGGAAUGCGUGGUGUAGCGGUGAAAUGCAUAGAUAUCACGCAGAACUCCGAUUGCGAAGGCAGCUUACUAAACUAUAACUGACACUGAAGCACGAAAGCGUGGGGAGCAAACAGGAGUAGAUACCCCAGUAGUC